CCCUUGGAGAGUUAUAUCAAACGAAAGUAGGUUGUUAUUUAUAAUUUCCAAAAUCGAAUUCGUAGAACAGGGAA
rnacentral:ncRNA from 1 species